AUUGAACGCUGGCGGCAGGCCUAACACAUGCAAGUCGAACGGUAACAGGAAGCAGCUUGCUGCUUCGCUGACGAGUGGCGGACGGGUGAGUAAUGUCUGGGAAGCUGCCUGAUGGAGGGGGAUAACUACUGGAAACGGUAGCUAAUACCGCAUAAUGUCGCAAGACCAAAGAGGGGGACCUUCGGGCCUCUUGCCAUCGGAUGUGCCCAGAUGGGAUUAGCUUGUUGGUGGGGUAACGGCUCACCAAGGCGACGAUCCCUAGCUGGUCUGAGAGGAUGACCAGCCACACUGGAACUGAGACACGGUCCAGACUCCUACGGGAGGCAGCAGUGGGGAAUAUUGCACAAUGGGCGCAAGCCUGAUGCAGCCAUGCCGCGUGUAUGAAGAAGGCCUUCGGGUUGUAAAGUACUUUCAGCGGGGAGGAAGGGAGUAAAGUUAAUACCUUUGCUCGUUGACGUUACCCGCAGAAGAAGCACCGGCUAACUCCGUG
rnacentral:rRNA from 1 species